rnacentral:sRNA from 1 species
UAUUAAAACACUGAAUCCUGGCGUUGUUGACAGCUAACAAGACUAAUUUGUCAAGCAAUUAUAAAAAAAUAACUUCCAACAACGGAUCUCUUGGCUCUCGUACCGAUGAAGAACGCAGCAAAUUGCGAUAUGUAUCAUGAUCUGCAAACGUGAAUCAUUAAUCUUUGAACGCACAUGGCGCGCCUUGGCGCAUGCGGGGUGGAGCAUACAUUUUCUCCUCAGGGCCUUAGAAUCAACAGUCAGAAAACAAGUUCUCGACUUUUUUGUUUCUCCCCCCCGUAAGACUACCCGCUGAACUUAAGCAUAUCAAUAAGCGGAGGAAAAGAAACCAACAGGGAUUGCCUCAGUAACGGCGAGUGAAGCGGCAAAAGCUCAUGUUUAAAAGCUUCGGCAUUGUAACGGUGGCGGAAGGGGCAUUCAAAAGUCCAUUGGAACAUGGCGCCAUUGAGGAUGACAUGCCCCGUAAGAUCAGCCCCAACCCUCCACCAAAUGAGUCGAGUUGUUUGGGAAUGCAACUCUAAGAGGUGGUAAACUCCACUCUAAGGCUAAAUAUCGACGAGAGACCGAUAGCGAACAGGUACAGUGAUGGACAAGAUGAAACAGCACUUUGCAACAGAGAGUGAAACAGUACGUGCAAUUGUU